UGGGGAAUAUUGCACAAUGGGCGCAAGCCUGAUGCAGCCAUGCCGCGUGUAUGAAGAAGGCCUUCGGGUUGUAAAGUACUUUCAGCGGGGAGGAAGGGGUUAAGGUUAAUAACCUUAGCCAUGACGUUACCCGCAGAAGAAGCACCGGCUAACUCCGUGGCCAGCAGCCGCGGUAAUACAGGAGGGUGCAAGCGUUAAUCGGAAUUACUGGGCGUAAAGCGCACGCAGGCGGUCUGUCAAGUCGGAUGUGAAAUCCCCGGGCUCAACUGGGAACUGCAUUCGAAACUGGCAGGGCUUGAGUCUCGUAGAGGGGGGUAGAAUUCCAGUGUAGCGGUGAAAUGCGUAGAGAUCUGGAGGAAUACC
rnacentral:rRNA from 1 species